UGUUCUCUGUGGCUCAGGGAGGAGUGGACCUGCAGCAGAUCCAAACUCCUCAUCCUUUCCUGUGGAAUGUCAAAAAUCUCAGACGCUCUUCAGGUGAAAUAAAAACGUACGCGGUGCAGAGCCACUACGGCAUUCCACAUUCUGAGUUGGCAAAACUCCACCAGCUGUCCAUGCAGCAGCAGGGCCUCGCCCCCAUCAGCCAAUCAGCUGCUCAAGUUCUGCC